UAUAUUAAAGUUGUUGCGGUUAAAAAGCUCGUAGUUGGAUUUCUGUUGAGGUCGGGCGGUGUGCACCUCGUGCAUUAUUUGCUUCGGUCUCGGCAUCCUCCUGGGGAACGUUUAGGACUUUAUUGGACUAGGCGAGAUUCAGGACUUUUACUUUGAGGAAAUUAGAGUGUUCACGGCAAGCAAGCGCGGGAAUACAUUAGCAUGGAAUAAUAAUAUAGGACCUUCGUUCUAUUUUGUUGGUUUCUAGAACUUAGGUAAUGAUUAAUAGGGACAAUUGGGGGCAUUCGUAUUAACGCGUCAGAGGUGGAAUUCUUGGAUUGCGUUACGACGAACUACUGCUAAAGCAUUUGCCAAAGAUGUUUUCAUUGAUCAAGAACGAAAGUAUGGGGAUCGAAGACGCUUAGAUACCGUCGUAGUCUAUACCAUAAACUAUGCCAACUAGAGAUCGGUGGGGUUAUCCUAUGUGGCUCCAUCGGCAUCUUAUGAGAAAUCAAAGUUUUUGGGUUCCGGGGGGAGUAUGGUCGCAAGGCUGAAACUUAAAGGAA
rnacentral:rRNA from 1 species